CGAUCUUCUUUCUUCCAAUCUCUCAUCUGCUUCCUCAUACAUUCCGAUUCGCUUCUCUAUUCUGAUUCUACGAUUCCAUUCCAUUCCAUCAAUUUAAUUCUUCUACUCUCCGAUUGUUUUCCUUCCACAGCUAAAGGUUAAGAGAGAUGGCUAACAAUGCUGCUACGUGUGCUGAGAGGGCAACAAGUGACAUGCUUAUUGGUCCUGAUUGGGCAAUUAACAUUGAGUUGUGUGAUAUCAUCAAUUUGGACCCUAAGCAAGCAAAGGAUGCGUUAAAGAUAGUGAAUAACUCUAACUCACAUGCAUGGUAUGUAUUUGAUGUAGGCACUGGAGACCCUUAGUAAAAAUUGUGGUGAAAGCGUGUUUCAGCAGAUUGUUGAGCGCAGGUGAAGAGGAGAUCGACGGUGAGGCGUGGCGGCGACGGCUCCUCCCUCCAGCUUGACGAUGGCGUGACGGCGGCCCACACCCUACCGGCGACGCAUCUCCCUUCUCGGAUCUCUCUUCCAUGUGUGUGAAUGCAUUUGUUUUGUGUGUGUAUAGUUGAGAAGGCAGAAAGAGUGAGGAGAGGAGGGUUGGGGGCUGCGCAGGUGAAGAGGAGAGAGGCGGUGAGGAUAGAAUUAUGGUUAAGGGCAAUGUAGUCAUUUUACUUGAGUGAGAGGGACUUAUGUGUUCCGUUUUCAAAACCUCUAUCCCACUAACGUACCACGUGGGAACGCCGUUGAGCCAGGUAAGCAUAGGGGGAGCCAGCUCAGCAUUUUCUGUCCACUUUGAGGCUGGCUCAUGGACGGAGGGACUGAUCGGUCUUAUUUUCAGGAACGUCAGGGAUUUAAAUGUAUUUUCCAAUGCUCAGGGACGAAAAUGUCUGAGGCUUAAAAGGAUUGUUUAAGAGCAUUAGAUAAAACAUAUAUAGAUGUGACUGUCCCUGAAAAAGAUAAAUCAAGAUACCGAACAAGAAUUGAAAAGAGAAGAUUCAGAACAACACCCGAAAAGAGAAGGAAGAGAGACUGAGUGGGCAGAAACAGAAAACGAGUUGGCAGCGGCGCGGAAACAGGCAACGUCGUCCAGGUGGAACAAGAAUCAUUCCUCCAUAGUUCUUCGGAAAGAGUACGGUUAGGGCGGCAGUGAAGGAAUCCGAGACAGAGACAUGAUGAGAGGUGGGUAUGAAAGUUAAAACUAAAUAUGUCUAUUUAGUAAUUUUAUAUCAUAUUGUAGUCUUGUUCAUAUUAAUCCAAACAUAAUACUAGACAUUACAUUAAUGUUUUGUCCAUUGUAUCUAAACAUAAUACAUAAAAAAUAAUUUUUAGUGUCUC